CGACUAAGCGUACACGGUGGAUGCCCUGGCAGUCCGAGUCUUGGAAGGGCGUGCCAAGCUGCGAAAAGCGUCGGUAAGGUGAUAUGAACCGUUAUAGCCGGCGAUGUCCGAAUGGGGAAACCCAGUGCAAUUCGUUGCACUAUCGUUAACUGAAUACAUAGGUUAACGAGGCGAACCGGGGGAACUGAAACAUCUAAGUACCCCGAGGAAAAGAAAUCAACCGA
rnacentral:rRNA from 1 species